rnacentral:rRNA from 1 species
UACGUAGGGGGGCAACGUUGUCCGGAUUUAUUGGGCGUAAAGAGCGUGUAGGCGGCCAGACAGGUCCGUUGUGAAAAACUCGAGGCUCAACCUCGAGACGUCGAUGGAAACCGUCUGGCUAGAGUCCGGAAGAGGAGAGUGGAAUUCCUGGUGUAGCGGUGAAAUGCGCAGAUAUCAGGAGGAACACCGGUGGCGAAGGCGGGUCUCUGGGCCGGUACCGACGCUGAGGAGCGAAAGCGUGGGGAGCGAACAGG